GUGUUCAUCUCAAAACACUUUGGGAAGCCAAAGAUACUGCUGCUAGAUUUCAAAAGCCUGAAAAUCUAUGACUUUUCCAGUCAUAAAAAACAGUUCUGCAAGCCUUGAUAAGGAAGUUUAUACUGAUUUCAUUGCAACAGAUUUAACACUGAGAAAACAAAGCCAAAAGCAAUAGGUGCUAAUGUUCUGGUGCAAGUUCGGAUCCAAAGCAUUUUCACCACUUCAAAGCAAGUAAGAGGGUCACAAAGGGUUAAAACCGUGCCCCUUGCAUUGGAAGGAUAGAGUCCUAACCAUUGAACCACCAGGAAAUUCCCAACUUCAGAAUUUUUAAAGUGACAAGAAGACAUUUAAAAGCUGCAUGGAAUCUUAGUUGCGGCAUGUGAGAUUCUCAUUCCUCAACCAGGGAUCAGACCCAGGCCUCCUGCGUUGGACGCACCGAGUCUUAGCCACUGGACCACCAAGGAAAUCUCAAGGUUCUACAUUGCCUGUGAUGGCUCCUUACAUCCCUGUGAUAGUAGGACUAUCUAAUGUUAGACAGGAGCCUCAACUUCAGAAGAAUAAUUAGAUGUAUCACUUUAAAAGUAACGUUAUUCUUGACUUGAACAAACAGCUGAAACUUUUCUUUGAAAAGUUGUAAUAAGGAACAGGCAAGAGAGUUGGGCAGAAGCUGAGUGAGGCUCAUUAUACUAAUUCUCCAGG
ensembl:lncRNA